GCACGAAACCUUUACAAUGCACGAAAGUGUGAUAAGGGAAUUCCAAGUGCUCUAUCAAUGAUAGGGCUUUUGCCAAGUGUAAGGAGCUUGGCGAAUAAGUGGUGGGUAAGACUGGUGCCAGCCGCCGCGGUAACCCCAGCGCCACAAGUGGUGACCAUAUUUAUUGGGUCUAAAGCGUCCGUAGCCGGUUUAGUAAAUUUCUUGUGAAAUCGUUAGACUUAAUUUAACGGCGUGCAAGAAACACUGUUAAACUUGAGACCGGGAGAAGGUAAAGGUAUUUCAGGGGGAGCGGUAAAAUGUUAUAAUCCUUGAAAGACCAUCAAUGGCGAAGGCAUUUACCUAGAACGGGUCUGACGGUCAGGGACGAAAGCUAGGGGAGCAAAACGG
rnacentral:rRNA from 1 species